rnacentral:tRNA from 1 species
UCCCUGGAGGUCCAGUGGCUAAGACUCCACGCUCCCACUGUAGGGGGCCCGGGUUCAAUCCCUGGUCAGGGAA